GGGCUCCUCUGACUGGUGAGUUCAUUUUGAGUAAAAGGACUCAGCAAAAUAUGAAGUUCUUUAUCUUUGCCUUCAUCUUGGCCAUCAUGGCUGCAUUGACAAGAGCUGAUUCAUCUGAAGAGCAUCAUCAUAGAAGAUUCCAUGAAAAGGAUCGUGAAUAUCAGCGUUAUGAACGUUAUCCCUAUCGUUACCGAGGUCCAUAAGCUAACAACUUUGCUCAGUAACCAUGAGGCUUGAUUACACAGGCUUGUCAAGAGGUCCUAUUGGCUCUGUACUCACGAUGAUUUUGCUACUCUAAAACCUGUUUGCUCAUCAAGCGACGUUUCAUUAAACCUCAUACAACACAUAAGAAGUUCUUUAAAAAGCAAGUUUUAUAA